rnacentral:rRNA from 1 species
AAUGAAUGUUGGCGGCAUGGAUUAGGCAUGCAAGUCGAGCGGGUGUAGCAAUACAUCAGCGGCGUAAGGGACAGGAACACGUAGACUACCUGCCCUCGGGUCUGGAAUAGCCACGGGAAACUGUGGGUAAUGCCAGAUAACAUCUCCGGAUCAAAGGUGUGAUUCCGCCCGAGGAUGGGUCUGCGUCCUAUUAGCUAGUUGGUGAGGUAACGGCUCACCAAGGCGAUGAUGGGUAGCAGGUGUGAGAGCACGACCUGCGUCAUUGGGAGUGAGACACUGCCCAGACACCUACGGGUGGCUGCAGUCGAGAAUUUUUGGCAAUGGGCGAAAGCCUGACCAAGCGAUGCCGCGUGCGGGAUGAAGGCCUUCGGGUUGUAAACCGCUGUCAGUGGGGAGGAAGGCUCCGUGAAGAACGGGGUUUGACCUAUCCGCAGAGGAAGUGUGGGCUAAGUUCGUGCCAGCCGCCGCAGUAAAAC